rnacentral:misc_RNA from 1 species
AACUUCCUGGUCUUGGUCUUGGUUUGUCAAACGUGACAUUACGGCAUUAUAUAUUGGAUGAACAUAAGGUUUGAAGUCAAAACCCAAGUCCUGAAUAUUUGGACGUGCAACACGAACAAGUUCCCCACAUACUCUUAAUGCCUCUGCAGUUACCUUGUAGUACCGCUCAUCAACAGCUGAUAAAACAGGACUAGAAAGAGCCUUGAUAUGAGGGUGGAAAACAGGAGGAGAAUGUGAAGCCAAUACCAAUUUCGUAAAUAUGAGAGCUUCAAUCUUCAAAUUUGAGGUUGAAGAUUUGUCAUUUAAUGCCUUUUCAAUCCCUGGAAUGAGUGAUCCAAUAUGUUCUGCUAGGCAGUCUGGCAAGACAACCACAAGUUCUUUCAGAACAGAAAAUGCACCAACCUUUGUCUUGAUAGAUUUCUCUCGAAGCUGCCUAUUUAUAGAUUUAACAACCUUCGGCACUUCCUGUUUCAGUAGCCAUCUUGGGCUUGAUUCAUUCAUGUCAAUCUGCCCUUUUGUAACAUUUCCAGUUUGACGUA